AUGCUGCUGGAGAAACUGCAGAACAGCACGGGAGGUCACCAGGCUGCAGCAAGAGAAGAGCAGUCUCUGAGUAGGUUAAAAAAUUACCGAGUGCCAAAUGUGAGAAAGCAGUGUCCCGUAGAAGCCGGGAGCGUCGUUAGCGCCCACCCCCCGCAGCUGUCCCCCGGGAAGGGCGGGAGGGGCCUGCGGCGCCAAUGGGAAAGCAGCUCGGCCGCGGCGGCCACAGGUGCGGGCCCUCAGCGGCGCAGAAGCUUCCAGCAAGGGCUGCACGUGGGGGCCGCGGAAUGGCGGCCGCGCGGAGCCAGGGAGCUGCCGCUUUCUAAGCGCCUUUUGGCUUGGCCGGCCGAGCACCCAGCACUGAGCUACCACUGCCGUGUUAGUUGCUAACUGCAAGAGUUGAUGACAUCUUGGAAUCCAUCCAGUGGAUCUCAGCUGAGGAAGAAGUCCGGAGGUGGAAGGACACAGGUAGCAGAUCCCUCAGCAGCAACAGCAUGGUUUACUUGAAGACUAGGAGGUAUCUGGGAACUGGGGAGAACCAAGAAGUGUAUGUGACCAAAUUUCAGCAGCAGUUACCUGAUCUCAGCAUAACAGAUAAAGGCAAUCCCAGGAGUAGAAAUCCCCUUGAGCGGAUGGAGGAAAAAGAGGCAAUUACACGAACUGCUUGCUGUUCUAUCAAGAGCAAACACGAGGAGAACUUGGCUGAAAUAAACUUGGCAAUACAGUUUUAGCA
rnacentral:lncRNA from 1 species